GACGAACGCUGGCGGCGCGCCUAACACAUGCAAGUCGAACGAGAGAUGAGGAGCUUGCUCUUCAAAUCGAGUGGCGAACGGGUGAGUAACGCGUGAGGAACCUGCCUCAAAGAGGGGGACAACAGUUGGAAACGACUGCUAAUACCGCAUAAGCCCACGGCUCGGCAUCGAGCAGAGGGAAAAUGAGCAAUCCGCUUUGAGAUGGCCUCGCGUCCGAUUAGCUAGUUGGUGAGGUAACGGCCCACCAAGGCGACGAUCGGUAGCCGGACUGAGAGGUUGAACGGCCACAUUGGGACUGAGACACGGCCCAGACUCCUACGGGAGGCAGCAGUGGGGAAUAUUGCACAAUGGGGGAAACCCUGAUGCAGCGACGCCGCGUGGAGGAAGAAGGUCUUCGGAUUGUAAACUCCUGUUGUUGAGGAAGAUAAUGACGGUACUCAACAAGGAAGUGACGGCUAACUACGUGCCAGCAGCCGCGGUAAAACGUAGGUCACAAGCGUUGUCCGGAAUUACUGGGUGUAAAGGGAGCGCAGGCGGGAGAACAAGUUGGAAGUGAAAUCCAUGGGCUCAACCCAUGAACUGCUUUCAAAACUGUUUUUCUUGAGUAGUGCAGAGGUAGGCGGAAUUCCCGGUGUAGCGGUGGAAUGCGUAGAUAUCGGGAGGAACACCAGUGGCGAAGGCGGCCUACUGGGCACCAACUGACGCUGAGGCUCGAAAGUGUGGGUAGCAAACAGGAUUAGAUACCCUGGUAGUCCACACCGUAAACGAUGAUUACUAGGUGUUGGAGGAUUGACCCCUUCAGUGCCGCAGUUAACACAAUAAGUAAUCCACCUGGGGAGUACGACCGCAAGGUUGAAACUCAAAGGAAUUGACGGGGGCCCGCACAAGCAGUGGAGUAUGUGGUUUAAUUCGACGCAACGCGAAGAACCUUACCAAGUCUUGACAUCCCUUGACGAUGCUGGAAACAGUAUUUCUCUUCGGAGCAAGGAGACAGGUGGUGCAUGGUUGUCGUCAGCUCGUGUCGUGAGAUGUUGGGUUAAGUCCCGCAACGAGCGCAACCCUUAUGGUCAGUUACUACGCAAGAGGACUCUGGCCAGACUGCCGUUGACAAAACGGAGGAAGGUGGGGAUGACGUCAAAUCAUCAUGCCCUUUAUGACUUGGGCUACACACGUACUACAAUGGCGUUAAACAAAGAGAAGCAAGACCGCGAGGUGGAGCAAAACUCAGAAACAACGUCCCAGUUCGGACUGCAGGCUGCAACUCGCCUGCACGAAGUCGGAAUUGCUAGUAAUCGUGGAUCAGCAUGCCACGGUGAAUACGUUCCCGGGCCUUGUACU
rnacentral:rRNA from 1 species